GAUGAACGCUGGCGGCGUGCCUAACACAUGCAAGUCGAGCGGACAGACGAUGAGCUUGCGCCUUUGACGUUAGCGGCGGGCGGGUGAGUAACGCGUGGAUCACCUCCCUAUAUGUCUGGGAUAACUACGGAAAACCGGAUCUAAUACCAGAUAAUAUAUUGAACCGCAUGGUUCAAUGGUGAAUGACGGCUUUGCUGUCUCUAAUAGAUGGUUCCGCGCCGCAUUGGCUAGUUGGUAAGGUAACGGCCUACCAAGGCUACGAUGCGUAGCCGAGCGGAGAGGGUGAUCGGCCACACUGGAACUGAGACACGGUCCAGACUCCUACGGGAGGCAGCAGUCGGGAAUAUUACGCAAUGGGCGAAAGCCUGACGCAGCAACGCCGCGUGAGUGAUGAAGGCCUUCGGAUCGUAAAACCCUGUUAUUGGGGAAGAACAGCUGUGGAAGUAAACAUGCACGUCUUGACGGUACCUAAUCAAAAAGCACCGGCUAACUACGUG
rnacentral:rRNA from 1 species